CGGAGGAUUCAACCGGCUAGGAUGUGUGUGUGCGCUCGGUGCACCUAUUGACCGGAGUAAGAUGAAGUAGUCCACUGGUAGACAGUGGUCCUUCUGGUUGCGUUCUUGUAGCGCGGCUAGAAGGUGAUACGUGCCGGAUGGGUGCCGGAGUAUACUGCUCAUCCGUAGGGUCAACUAGCCGGCGCAUUUCCUCUGCGGUGAACACCACSACCGAUGGCAUUGUUGGUCUGCUGCGGUCAAGUCGCACGCGAUUGGUGUCAUCUGACGUCAAUUGUACGCGACCACAGUCAGGAUUUGUAGACGGCGUUGGGGUGUUUCGGCACUUUAGCGUGUUAUCGUCUGCUGCCUGCAAACAAGCCAGCCCUGUGGUUAUUGUGGCCUGCUAUUUGAUCACUUGUUGGCUUGGUGGACCGUGGUGGUGUUAAUUACCAUACAAGGCAUCGGGGUUAGCGACCUCAUGUGAUAGCAUCAUGCAUCAGGACGYAAGUCACGAGCGUCGUGUUUGCCGAAGGGCGACACUGGAGUAGUCUGCUUGCUGUCUGGCUCUGAUUGUCGUGUUGCCUGCGCAAAGUAGGUCCGGCAGUGGUCAGCUGUGAGAUGGGCUGCUGUUAUUACCGGUGUGCCUCGUGAUGUGAUGCUGGGGGUCAUAUAGUCAGUGGUGCUGUGGUAGACGAGCUACCCGACCCGUC
rnacentral:rRNA from 1 species